rnacentral:rRNA from 1 species
UACGAGGGGGGCAAGCGUUGUUCGGAAUUAUUGGGCGUAAAGGGCGCGUAGGUGGUGGCUUAAGCGUGCGGUGAAAGCUCGGAGCUCAACUCCGAGUCGGCCGUGCGAACUGGGCUCACUGGAGCAUAGUAGAGGCAGGUGGAAUUCCGGGUGUAGCGGUGGAAUGCGUAGAGAUCCGGAAGAACACCGGUGGCGAAGGCGGCCUGCUGGGCUAUGGCUGACACUGAGGCGCGACAGCGUGGGGAGCAAACAGG